rnacentral:lncRNA from 1 species
UCCGCCCGUGGAGCCGGCAGCGGAGGACGAGCGGCGGCACGACGAGGACCGGCACGACGACGACGACGACGACGACGACGACGAGGACGAGCGGAGCCUGCGGACGGCCCUCAAGAAGCUGCGGCUGGACGCGGCGCGGCGGCACGAGGACGAGGAGGAGCAGCAGCAGCAGCAGCAGGACGACGACGAGGACGAGGACGAGGACGACGAGGAGGAGCGCAGCCUGCGGACGGCCCUCCAGGAGCUGCGGGUGGACGCGGCGCGGUGUGAGAGGACUGCAGGAGGACCGGCCGGUCUCUCACGGCACGGACGUUCCAGGUCUCCUGUCCUAUCCAUCUGUGAAACAGCCCUGUGCAGCCCUCCCGCAUCCCGUUCUGUGGAGGCUCACGCUUAUGUCAGUGACGUGACUGUGGAAGACCUGGCAGGGUACCUGGAACACCAUCUGCAUAUACCAAAGAAAAUGUCUGCCAUGGCAGAAAUGAUGUAUUCAUAACCAAACAGCAAAAACAGUCACAGUACUAAGCGCUAUCAGAAAUUUAAAUGGCUCGUUUGUGCCAUAUUUGUAAUGUUCUGUUUCAUCAAAUGUCUUAUUACACGGUACAGUUUAGUUUUGUAAUUAAGAGAAAAACUGUACAUAGUUGCAUAGACUCCUGUGGCUGAAAUGAUGUAUACUUAACUGAAAGCCAUACUCAGUCACAUAGUAAUACAGUUUAUUUUUGUAACUCGAAUAAAAACUGUAUAUAGUCUCAUAGACUGACAGAAUG